UACGUAGGGGGCGAGCGUUGUCCGGAUUCAUUGGGCGUAAAGAGCGUGUAGGCGGCCAGGUAGGUCGGUUGUGAAAACUGGAGGCUCAACCUUCAGACGUCGACCGAAACCAUCUGGCUAGAGUCCGGGAGAGGAGAGUGGAAUUCCUGGUGUAGCGGUGAAAUGCGCAGAUAUCAGGAAGAACACCCGUGGCGAAAGCGGCUCUCUGGAACGGUACUGACGCUGAGACGCGAAAGCGUGGGGAGCGAACAGG
rnacentral:rRNA from 1 species